UAGAUUUUCUAAAUCUGAAUCCAAUCUUCGGGGACGCGCAGCUCUCUCUGGUACCACCCCCUUCCCCAGUUCGGUCUCUCUCUCCUUAUUUCUCCUUCUCUUGCAGUGUGAUGUGUGGUCAUAUGACAGGGUCUGAAUACCAACACACUCGACAUGAGCGAGGAGGCGUAAACCGGAGAAAACAAGUGGCUAAGUGUGUGUCGCGGACACUGAGAGAGCGUGAGCGGUUACUGGGGAACGCCUAUCUGACUGAAACUGCGGAGAAGAAAAUUAGUUUAAAGCAACGGGGGACACUAACUAACUAACUUUAGGCAUAUCCAACCCAGCGAAGUUAAAAAAUAUAUAUAUAUUUACAAAUCGCAUCGUGUUAUUGCUUUCCACUUUUCUGAGCGGUGUGUGCCCAAAUCUCAGAAUCGGAGGAGGCUGGGGCUUGAGGAAGCAGUUUGGACAUACUUUUAUUUUAAAGUUAUACUUUUUUUUGUUGUUAAGCGUCAUUCUAGAGCGUCAGCCCUGAUUUUGGCUGGUAAACUUGAGUUGUUAGUUUGACAAUGGUCGGCGAGUUGAAUGAGCAGGUCCGGGAAAGACCCAGACCAAGGCCCAGCCCGGACUACCUGAUGCAGUUGAUGACAGACCGGAAGGUGAUGAGCUCGCUGCCCAAUUUCACUGGCAUCUUCACUCACCUGGAGCGGCUCUUAGACGAAGAGAUAGGUAGAGUGCGCAAGGACAUGUAUAACGACUCAAUGAAUGGCGGUGUGGCUGCCGAGGGGCGGGACUCCGAGGAGCUGCCUGAUGGGAUUGGUCCAGUGGCUCAGCUGCAGGAGAAGCUCUAUGUGCCCGUUAAAGAGUACCCCGACUUUAACUUUGUAGGUAGGAUACUGGGUCCAAGGGGCCUAACAGCCAAACAGCUGGAGGCAGAGAUGGGCUGUAAGAUCAUGGUACGAGGAAAAGGAUCCAUGAGAGACAAGAAGAAGGAAGAGCUGAACAGAGGGAAACCUAACUGGGAACACCUAAGUGAGGAACUUCAUGUUCUCAUCACAGUGGAAGACUCACACAACAGAGCUCAGAUCAAACUACAAAGAGCUACCGCAGAGGUCAAGAAACUGCUCGUACCAGCUGCUGAUGGAGAGGACAGUCUAAAAAAGAUGCAGCUAAUGGAGCUCGCCAUUCUCAACGGAACCUACAGAGACGCCAACAUCAAGCAACCCACUAUGGCCUUCUCCCUAGCCUCCUCUCAGCAGCCUCGGCUCAUCUCCAGCCCCUCCCCUGUCAUGCAGCAGGCUAUGCGGAGCCCCGCCCCUGGUCAACAGCCCAACCUCAUGCCUCACCUGAUUCGUCAGAUCCAGAGUCAGCAGGCCCUCAUGCAAGGAGCCAAUCAGCACGCAGCACUGAUGCAGCAAUCACCUGAAUCAGGAGGGUUCUUCUACGCUCCCUACGAAUAUUCCCCCUACACCCUAACUCCAUCUAUACUAGAAUACCCCAUGGACACUACUGGUGUACUAGGUAUGGCUUUCCAAACCAAAGGCUGAGAGAUGAACACUCUCCUACACAUGGACCUCUCACACACACACACACACACACACACACACACACACACACACACACACAGGCUUAUCUGAAAUGGGCCUCUUGUCUUCUUAAUGAUUAUGUCACUGUUUGAUGAUGUCACUGUUUGAUGGUGUCACUGUUAACCUCCUGUGUUUUGGUGAUGUGGUUGCGCGGUGAGCAGGAGCGAUGACGGCUCAGGUGCAACGCCACAAUAUGAGAGCCCAUCCUUACCAAAGAGUAGUGAACACCGACAGAGGUCAGUUAGAUCACCAGACUGUCUGCCACGGCAACUAAUCCCUGACCUCUGCCCACUGAUGACCCACCCGUCUCCGCCCGUGCCUCGCUCGUUGCCAUGCUCUGGACAGCAGCCACGCCCCUCCCCCAGAGUCACCUCUGCCUAACCAACCAGAGACCAGCGGCCAUGGUAACGAACCUUCAGGACCCAAUCAGGACCCAGUCACCAGCCACACCCACCCAAACACUACACUAUCAAGCCAUGUGCCCCUUUUAAAGGAAACCCCACAGCCAAACCCCCCAACCACAACCCCCUUUAACCAAAUCUCCCCAAUCUGCACUGGUCAGAUAACCUGGCUCUAUUCCUUGCCCUGCACUGAGUCGAUGUGGAGCUAUAAUAUUAUAAUAAUUCAAUAAUCCAAAUAAUAACAGUCAUAUGUGUGAUCAUAAUUAUACUUGUCGAGCACACUGACCCUCCACGGCCACUAGUCUGACUGUCCCUGUUCUCAAAACGUCACUGUCACACAAAACGUUACUUAGAUCGGGUUUUACCAGGUCACACCAGUUUCACACGAUGUCCUCUCUAAGACUAGAGUCUCGACUGUUGCACCAUGCCUGCCUUUCGACAGUGAGCUGAGCCUAUCUGAUGUGUAAGAUCUAAGCUCUCCAGGUAUACUCUCAACCACAACGUCACAGUAUUAUAGAAAUGUGGAGAACCAAGUGCCUUUUAGUUAUUUAAAUAGAUCUGUUACAGACCAGCCUUUUUAUGAAGGCUUUUCUAACCUCCAUGAAAGAGGAAUAACCUGACGCCAUCUUUUCUAUCUCUCAACACAGUGAAAGAGAUGUGUAUUUUACAGAAACCAUCUCAAUGUUGUGAUUUAACAUAAACCCACAUGUCUUCUGGGUUUAGAGUGAAGUGCCAAAGGGUUUGUUCCUUCCGUCUGUGCAGUAGGACCUUCUCAGAACAGUAUUAAUGUUGUGUGUUUAUUUUAUUUUGGGGAGUGGCGUUUAUGUAUUUGUGUGUGUGUGUGUGUGUCUGCCUUUGAGAACACACUCUAUCGUAUAGUGUUGUGUUAUUAGAUGUGUGUGUGUGUGUGUUACAUAUUUGAGCCCCUAACUAGCCUCUUGCCAAGCGGUUGUUUUUACUCCACACAAACCGUCUCCUUCAAGACAAAACAGGGACAAUACUGUACAACAUCUGUAACAUCUGUUUUAUAAUGCAAUUUUAUAUUAUAUUUUUUAUGUGAGAAAUAACAUUAAAUUAUGUUUUCAGAUAAGAACAGUAUACCUUACUAUGAAUAUAUUUUUUCAUUCAGUUUAAGAGCUAAUAUUGCCUCCAACCAAUGUGCCAUUCACAAAGUGUCCGGGAGUGUUUUUAAAAUCCUGAUAUACUGAAAACCUUCAAAUGUUCUGGAAGAUUCUUGUUUUUCAAGUUAAUCUCAGUGUUGCUUACCUUCUGUAACUUCUGUGUGUAAAGGAGGAUUAACUCUGUAGUACUGAAUAUUAAUCUUUGUACUAACUGACCCGUCCUGUACUGUUAACCUCUUUACUCAUAUCUGUCUCUGCUUUGGUUUCUUUUCAAAUAUAAACUGUGUGAAUCAGAUCAUUAAAAAGUGUUGUUAAUGUUUAACGUUUUAAAAGCUGGUAAAAAUAAUAAUAAUAACUAUUUGUACUGGGAAACAAUAACAUAUUAUUAAACUGGUAGUUUUAAAAAAAACUAA